AAGAAUGCAAGAAAUACCACUGCAUAGUUUUAAGACUAAUGUUUUAUUUGUUUUCCUACAAAUAAGUCAGUUGUGACAAACCUAAAGGUGGACAAACCUAAAGGUGACGAGCCUACUUUAGUGUCAUCCUAUUAGUGUUACACAGGAAACGUGAACAACCCUCCCUCUACCUUCAGAGCCUCAGCGCAGCUACCAGGAGGAGCCGCCAGCCCCUGAACCUCAGCCUGAGGGGUUGCUGCGCUUCCUCUGCUAAAAACAAAACCAAACCUCUAGUCACAAACUGGCCGAAUCGUGGCAGGGCCGUUAAAAUGCUUACUGCUCGUUACUACUCGGUACCUCACCAGAUUAGGACACCAACAGUCAAACAAGAGUGGUCCGAAGCAAAGGGAGAGCUCCCCGAAGACCUGCAGCACCUCCUCCUCCUCACAGGGGGGAUUGGGGGCGCCCCAGGGUGGCUGCCAGCAGCCCCUCUAGAAGCACUUGCGGUGGACGAUGGAGGGGCCGGACUCGUCGUACUCCUGCUUGCUGAUCCACAUCUGCUGGAAGGUGGAGAGGGAGGCCAGGAUGGAGCCGCCGAUCCAGACGGAGUACUUGCGCUCCGGCGGGGCGAUGAUUUUGAUCUUCAUGGUGCUGGGCGCCAGGGCCGUGAUCUCCUUCUGCAUCCUGUCGGCAAUGCCCGGGUACAUGGUGGUGCCGCCCGACAGCACGGUGUUGGCGUACAGGUCCUUGCGGAUGUCCACGUCGCACUUCAUGAUGGAGUUGAAGGUGGUCUCGUGGAUGCCGCAGGACUCCAUGCCCAGGAAGGAGGGCUGGAAGAUGGCCUCGGGGCAGCGGAACCGCUCGUUGCCGAUGGUGAUCACCUGCCCGUCGGGCAGCUCGUAGCUCUUCUCCAGCGAGGAGGACGAGGCGCAGGAUGGCGUGGGGCAGCGCGUAGCCCUCGUAGAUGGGCACAGGUGUGGGUGACGCCAGUCGCCGGAGUCCAUCACGAUGCCGGUGGUGCGGCCGGAGGCGUAGAGCGACAGCACGGCCUGGAUGGCCACGUACAUGGCCGGGGUGUUGAAGGUCUCGAACAUGAUCUGGGUCAUCUUCUCCCGGUUGGCUUUAGGGUUGAGGGGAACACGGCCCGGGGAGCGUCAUCCCCCGCGAAGCCCGCCUUGCACAUGCCUGAGCCAUUGUCCACCACGAGGGCAGCGAUCUCCUCGUCUGCCAUGCUGAAUGCACCUGGGGGACAAGGAGGGGGGGGUCACAGAGCACCUCUGCAAGGGCCCUGCCCUUGUGUGAUGAAGGACCAGAGGGGUCAGGGCACUGGAAAUGGCCAGGGAGUGAGAAGGGGCAUGGAGGAGACUCCAAGAUGGGUCCUGGGGGUGCCAGAAAGGCAGCAGGGUGACCUAACCCCGCACAGCAUGCACACCCUGAGGAGCCAGGACACCCACAACAUCCCCCCCCCCCCCCAAAAAAAAAAUCUCCCCAGGGAGGCCCUCUUCUCCCCUGAUUCCCCCAAAAAAACUUAGGGACAUCCCCUUUUCCCUUACCAAAAAAAGAGCCUCAAGGAACCCCCCACCUUUUUCCCUCAAAAAAAAAAAAAGAAAAACAAGGAAAAUUUCUCUCCCCACCCCUACUCCAAGCCUCCUGAGGGCCACCCUCCUCCCCACAAAGAAAACCCUCAGGGCACCCCCAUCUCCCUCCACCCCAAAACCCCCUCAAUAACACCCCCUCUUUCCCCCUAACCGAAAAAGACCCCUCAGGACACCCCUCCUCCCCCCAAAACCCCCGGUGGGCACAAACCCUCCCCCAAAAAGGCCCCUGAGGGCUGCCCCCCUCACCCUACCCUCCAAAAAUCCUCUCAGGGCUGCCCUUCUCCUCCCCACAUCCCCCAAAACCCUCCAGGGCCGCCCCCUGCCCCCUAUUUCCCCAGCACCCCCCCGGUACCCCCCACCAAGGCCGCCCCCCGCAUACCCACCUGCGCCGCCGCCGCCUCGCCUCCGACUGCCCAGCCCCGCCCCGCUCCCUUCCUUUUAUACCCCCGGAACCGGAAGCCGCUCCAUCCUCGCCGUCCCAUUGGCCGAACCACCUUUCCCUCACCAUCCGUCCCGCCCCUUCCGGGCUCCACCGUUGCCGGGGCCGCACCCGGAAGUUCCCGCCUCGCUUCCGGGGCCGGGCACCGCCCCCCCCCUCCCCGCGGCCCCGUUUCCGGUGGGGCUGAGGCGGGGCGGGCCCGGGGCCGGGGGGGCGGUGGCGGCGGCGGCGGGCGGGGCCCGGGCGGCAGCGUGAGGGGGGCCGCAGCCGGCACGGCCGGGCCGAGCCACAGGUAACGGAGCCCGGGGAGCCCGGGGGGGAGGCAGGGGGCCGCGGGGAGGCAGCGCCGGGGGG
rnacentral:lncRNA from 1 species